rnacentral:rRNA from 1 species
GAUGAACGCUGGCGGCGUGCUUAACACAUGCAAGUCGAACGGUGAAGGAGAGCUUGCUCUCCGGAUCAGUGGCGAACGGGUGAGUAACACGUGAGCAAUCUGCCCCUGACUCUGGGAUAAGCGCUGGAAACGGCGUCUAAUACCGGAUACGAGCUGCGAAGGCAUCUUCAGCAGCUGGAAAGAACUUCGGUCAGGGAUGAGCUCGCGGCCUAUCAGCUAGUUGGUGAGGUCAUGGCUCACCAAGGCGUCGACGAGUAGCCGGCCUGAGAGGGUGACCGGCCACACUGGGACUGGGACACGGCCCAGACUCCUACGGGAGGCAGCAGUGGGGAAUAUUGCACAAUGGGCGCAAGCCGGAUGCAGCAACGCCGCGUGAGGGACGACGGCCUUCGGGUUGUAAACCUCUUUUAGCAGGGAAGAAGCGAAAGUGACGGUACCUGCAGAAAAAGCACCGGCUAACUACGUGCCAGCCGCCGCAGUAA